UCGUGUAAACGGAUAAUGGACAUGG
rnacentral:piRNA from 1 species